rnacentral:rRNA from 1 species
UGGGGAAUAUUGGACAAUGGGCGAAAGCCUGAUCCAGCCAUGCCGCGUGUGUGAAGAAGGUCUUCGGAUUGUAAAGCACUUUAAGUUGGGAGGAAGGGCAGUAAGCGAAUACCUUGCUGUUUUGACGUUACCGCCAGAAUAAGCACCGGCUAACUCUGUGCCAGCAGCCGCGGUAAUACAGAGGGUGCAAGCGUUAAUCGGAAUUACUGGGCGUAAAGCGCGCGUAGGUGGUUCGUUAAGUUGAAUGUGAAAGCCCCCGGGCUCAACCUGGGAACUGCAUCCAAAACUGGCGAGCUAGAGUAGGGCAGAGGGUGGUGGAAUUUCCUGUGUAGCGGUGAAAUGCGUAGAUAUAGGAAGGAACACCAGUGGCGAAGGCGACCACCUGGGCUCAUACUGACACUGAGGUGCGAAAGCGUGGGGAGCAAACAGG